rnacentral:rRNA from 1 species
CCUACGGGAGGCAGCAGUGGGGAAUAUUGCACAAUGGGCGAAAGCCUGAUGCAGCGGCGCCGCGUGAGGGACGACGGCCUUCGGGUUGUAAACCUCUUUCAGCAGGGACGAAGCGCAAGUGACGGUACCUGCAGAAGAAGCACCGGCUAACUACGUGCCAGCAGCCGCGGUAAUACGUAGGGUGCAAGCGUUGUCCGGAAUUACUGGGCGUAAAGAGUUCGUAGGCGGUUUGUCACGUCGUUUGUGAAAACUCACAGCUCAACUGUGAGCCUGCAGGCGAUACGGGCAGACUUGAGUACUGCAGGGGAGACUGGAAUUCCUGGUGUAGCGGUGAAAUGCGCAGAUAUCAGGAGGAACACCGGUGGCGAAGGCGGGUCUCUGGGCAGUAACUGACGCUGAGGAACGAAAGCGUGGGUAGCAAACAGGAUUAGAUACCCGUGGUAGUCCACGCCGUAAACGGUGGCGCUAGGUGUGGGUUCCUUCCACGGAAUCGUGCCGUAGCUAACGCAUUAAGCGCCCGCCUGGGAGCGGCCGCAGGCAAACUCAAGGAAUUGACGGNGNGNGAGNGCGACGACGACGACGAGGAGAGG